ensembl:lncRNA
CCCUGAUACAUCUUGGCACGUGGCCCUGGCAGCUCAUGGUUUAGACAUGUACUCUUCAUCAGGUAAAAAACUGGUUGGAUGGCUGGGCCCAAGGAGCACGGAGACAUGGCAGCAAAGCAGCACAUGGAUGUAAGGAUAUUUAUUACUGCAAACUCGACGGCUAACUAUUGUCACCAUGCUGAUUCUUGGUCUCCAUCAUAUCUUCACCACCUCCUGGGCUCUGAGGCACUAUCCACAGGAGAUGCUGCCACACUUCAAAGCAUUACAGACUGGAAGCUGCAGUUUUACAAGAUCCUAUCUACAACCAGAGAUGAAAGAUCUUGCAAGGGUACCUGGG